rnacentral:rRNA from 1 species
CCUACGGGUGGCAGCAGUGGGGGAUAUUGCACAAUGGGGGAAACCCUGAUGCAGCGACGCCGCGUGGGUGAAGAAGUAUUUCGGUAUGUAAAGCCCUAUCAGCAGGGAAGAAAGAAGACGGUACCUGACUAAGAAGCCCCGGCUAACUACGUGCCAGCAGCCGCGGUAAUACGUAGGGGGCGAGCGUUAUCCGGAUUCACUGGGUGUAAAGGGAGCGUAGACGGCCGUGCAAGCCAGGAGUGAAAGCCCGGGGCCCAACCCCGGGACUGCUCUUGGAACUGUGCGGCUAGAGUGCGGGAGGGGCAGGCGGAAUUCCUGGUGUAGCGGUGAAAUGCGUAGAUAUCAGGAGGAACACCGGCGGCGAAGGCGGCCUGCUGGACCGCGACUGACGUUGAGGCUCGAAAGCGUGGGGAGCGAACAGGAUUAGAUACCCCAGUAGUC